rnacentral:rRNA from 1 species
UGCCAGCAGCCGCGGUAAUACGGAGGGUGCGAGCGUUGUUCGGAAUUACUGGGCGUAAAGCGCGUGUAGGCGGCUUCUUAAGUCUGGUGUGAAAUCCCGGGGCUCACCCCCGGAAGUGCAUUGGAUACUGGGAAGCUAGAGUACCGGAGAGGAGGGUGGAAUUCCUGGUGUAGCGGUGAAAUGCGUAGAUAUCAGGAGGAACACCGGUGGCGAAGGCGGCCCUCUGGACGGAUACUGACGCUGAGACGCGAAAGCGUGGGGAGCAAACAGGAUUAGAUA